rnacentral:rRNA from 1 species
CAAUGGCGUAUAUUAAAGUUGUUGCGGUUAAAAAGCUCGUAGUUGGAUUUCUGCUGAGAACGACCGGUCCGCCCUUUGGGUGUGUAUCUGGCUCUUUCUUGGCAUCUUCUUGGUGAACGUUGCUGCACUUGACUGUGUGGAGCGCUACCCAGGACUUUUACUUUGAGGAAAUUAGAGUGCUUCAAGCAGGCAUACGCCUUGAAUACAUUAGCAUGGAAUAAUAAGAUAGGACCUCGGUUCUAUUUUGUUGGUUUCUAGAGCUGAGGUAAUGAUUAAUAGGGAUAGUUGGGGGCAUUCGUAUUUAACUGUCAGAGGUGAAAUUCUUGGAUUUACGGAAGACGAACUACUGCGAAAGCAUUUACCAAGGAUGUUUUCAUUAA